ACGGAGAGGGCAAGCGUUGUUCGGAUUUAUUGGGCGUAAAGCGCACGUAGGCGGUUUGGUAAGUCGGUUGUGAAAGACCCACGGCUCACCCGGGGGAACGCAUCCGAUACUGCCAGACUUGAGUGCGGGAGAGGAGAGUGGAAUUCCAGGUGUAGCGGUGAAAUGCGUAGAUAUCUGGAGGAACACCGGUGGCGAAGGCGUCUCUCUGGCCCGCAACUGACGCUGAGGUGCGAAAGCGUGGGGAGCGAACGG
rnacentral:rRNA from 1 species